CCUACGGGAGGCAGCAGUGAGGAAUAUUGGUCAAUGGACGAGAGUCUGAACCAGCCAAGUAGCGUGAAGGAUGACUGCCCUAUGGGUUGUAAACUUCUUUUAUAUGGGAAUAAAACGUUCCACGUGUGGGAUUUUGUAUGUACCAUAUGAAUAAGGAUCGGCUAACUCCGUGCCAGCAGCCGCGGUAAUACGGAGGAUCCGAGCGUUAUCCGGAUUUAUUGGGUUUAAAGGGAGCGUAGGUGGAUUGUUAAGUCAGUUGUGAAAGUUUGCGGCUCAACCGUAAAAUUGCAGUUGAAACUGGCAGUCUUGAGUACAGUAGAGGUGGGCGGAAUUCGUGGUGUAGCGGUGAAAUGCUUAGAUAUCACGAAGAACUCCGAUUGCGAAGGCAGUUCACUGGACUGCAACUGACAGUGAGGCUCGAAAGUGUGGGUAUCAAACAGGAUUAGAUACCCCAGUAGUC
rnacentral:rRNA from 1 species